UACGUAGGCAGCAAGCGUUGUUCGGAGUUACUGGGCGUAAAGGGUGUGUAGGCGGUUAUUUAAGUUUGGUGUGAAAUCUCCCGGCUCAACCGGGAGGGUGCGCCGAAUACUGAAUGACUUGGAGUGCGGGAGAGGAAAGUGGAAUUCCUGGUGUAGCGGUGAAAUGCGUAGAUAUCGGGAGGAACACCGGUGGUGUAGACGGCUUUCUGGACCGUAACUGACGCUGAGACACGAAAGCGUGGGUAGCAAACAGG
rnacentral:rRNA from 1 species